UGGGGAAUAUUGCACAAUGGGCGCAAGCCUGAUGCAGCCAUGCCGCGUGUGUGAAGAAGGCCUUCGGGUUGUAAAGCACUUUCAGCGAGGAGGAAGGCAGUCGUGUUAAUAGCACGGUUGAUUGACGUUACUCGCAGAAGAAGCACCGGCUAACUCCGUGCCAGCAGCCGCGGUAAUACGGAGGGUGCAAGCGUUAAUCGGAAUUACUGGGCGUAAAGCGCACGCAGGCGGUUUGUUAAGUCAGAUGUGAAAUCCCCGCGCUUAACGUGGGAACUGCAUUUGAAACUGGCAAGCUAGAGUCUUGUAGAGGGGGGUAGAAUUCCAGGUGUAGCGGUGAAAUGCGUAGAGAUCUGGAGGAAUACCGGUGGCGAAGGCGGCCCCCUGGACAAAGACUGACGCUCAGGUGCGAAAGCGUGGGGA
rnacentral:rRNA from 1 species